rnacentral:rRNA from 1 species
UGCCAGCAGCCGCGGUAAUACGGAGGAUCCAAGCGUUAUCCGGAAUCAUUGGGUUUAAAGGGUCCGCAGGCUGUUAGAUAAGUCAGAGGUGAAAGUUUGCAGCUCAACUGUAAAAUUGCCUUUGAUACUGUUUAACUUGAGUUAUUAUGAAGUGGUUAGAAUAUGUAGUGUAGCGGUGAAAUGCAUAGAUAUUACAUAGAAUACCGAUUGCGAAGGCAGAUCACUAAUAAUAUACUGACGCUGAGGGACGAAAGCGUGGGGAGCGAACAGGAUUAGAUA